AUCUUGUUUCACUUCAGCUGUAGGUAACGGUUCUAGUUCAAACCGAUUCAGUGGAGAACUAUGUGAUGCACUCUGAUGAGCAGGCAACUCAGGAGGUGAAAACUGUAUUAGUGCUUCCUCUCGUCUCUGAUCAUAACCACUAGGUUGCUUUCUCACUUGACAAGGCUCAACUGGUAUAUAAUACUCAGAGUCACUUUCACUUUCCAACUCACUUUCUUCCAUUCGGUUUGCAGGUAUGCUGGAGUUUCCCUGUGGCUGUCUCUGCUGUGAUUUGGGUUUUGGCGUUGGAUCGACUUCAAGAGUUCCGAAGUUUUCCUGGUCCUCCCCUCGGAGUCAGGUUUCUUACAAGGACUCGACUUCCUGAGUCAAGAAUGCCAUCCUCAUCCAGCAUCAACUUAUCCCACCCUCUCAUCAAACUUUUCGCUGCUGAACCCGCAGACCUCCACUGCUUAGAAGAAGGCUUUACUCCUGACUGGGUCCUGAUGUUGUACUGGUCUCUGCAGAUGUUGGUGAACUCUGGCAAGCUAUAGCAAAGGACCAUGGUAUCCCUGAUUCAGACUGGACUUCCACCGCCUGUAUCAUGGCUCCUAUUGAAUCAGAUGAAAGCUCCU